rnacentral:rRNA from 1 species
CAGCCGCCGCGGGAAUACGAAGGGGGCUAGCGUUGUUCGGAUUUACUGGGCGUAAAGCGCACGUAGGCGGAUCCUUAAGUCAGAGGUGAAAUCCCAAGGCUCAACCUUGGAACUGCCUUUGAUACUGGGGAUCUCGAGUUCGGGAGAGGUGAGUGGAACUGCGAGUGUAGAGGUGAAAUUCGUAGAUAUUCGCAAGAACACCAGUGGCGAAGGCGGCUCACUGGCCCGAUACUGACGCUGAGGUGCGAAAGCGUGGGGAGCAAACAGGAUUAGAUACCCGAGUAGUCCCUGUCUCUUAUAA